rnacentral:rRNA from 1 species
UGAGGAAUAUUGCUCAAUGGGCGCAAGCCUGAAGCAGCAACGCCGCGUGGGUGAAGAAGGAUUUCGGUUCGUAAAACCCUUUUCUGUGUGACGAGAACGGACGGUAGCACAGGAAUAAGUGUCGGCUAACUACGUGCCAGCAGCCGCGGUAAAACGUAGGACGCAAGCAUUAUCCGGAAUUACUGGGCGUAAAGAGCGCGCAGGCGGUUGAGUAAGUCUAUUAUGAAAGCCCUGGGCUAAACUCGGGGA